rnacentral:ncRNA from 2 species
UUGGCCGAGGGGCGUUGCGUCCCUGUGAAACGGUGUCGUUGUGUACGACCGCCGUGCUCGCAGGGUCAGGCUCGGCAUCCUUUUGCAACCGCGCCCAUCUCAA